rnacentral:rRNA from 1 species
UACGUAGGUGGCAAACGUUAUCCGGAGUUACUGGGCGUAAAGGGCGUGUAGGCGGUUAGUUAAGUCUGGCGUGAAAGCUCUCGGCUAAACCGGGAGAGGUCGUUGGAUACUGGCUGACUAGAGGACGGUAGAGGCGUGUGGAAUUCCGGGUGUAGUGGUGAAAUGCGUAGAGAUCCGGAGGAACACCAGUGGCGAAGGCGACACGCUGGGCCGUACCUGACGCUAAAGCGCGACAGCAUGGGGAGCAAACGGG